rnacentral:rRNA from 1 species
GUGAGGUAAUGGCUCACCAAGGCUUUGACGGGUAGCCGGCCUGAGAGGGUGACCGGUCACACUGGGACUGAGACACGGCCCAGACUCCUACGGGAGGCAGCAGUGGGGAAUAUUGGACAAUGGGCGGAAGCCUGAUCCAGCAACGCCGCGUGAGGGAUGACGGCCUUCGGGUUGUAAACCUCUUUCAGUACCGACGAAGCGAAAGUGACGGUAGGUACAGAAGAAGGACCGGCCAACUACGUGCCAGCAGCCGCGGUAAUACGUAGGGUCCGAGCGUUGUCCGGAAUUAUUGGGCGUAAAGGGCUCGUAGGCGGUUUGUCGCGUCGGGAGUGAAAACAGCGGGCUUAACUCGUUGCUUGCUUUCGAUACGGGCAGACUAGAGGUAUGCAGGGGAGAAUGGAAUUCCUGGUGUAGCGGUGAAAUGCGCAGAUAUCAGGAGGAACACCGGUGGCGAAGGCGGUUCUCUGGGCAUUACCUGACGCUGAGGAGCGAAAGUGUGGGGAGCGAACAGGAUUAGAUACCCUGGUAGUCCACACCGUAAACGUUGGGCGCUAGGUGUGGGGUCCUUUCCACGGAUUCCGUGCCGUAGCUAACGCAUUAAGCG